rnacentral:lncRNA from 1 species
CCGGGUCCAGGCAGCACAUCACACUCACCUGGUCUGGCUGCAUGCAGCUCCCUCCUCUAUCUGAUCCAAUAGAUGUCCCUCCCCAUCCAGUCCAGGCUGGUUCCUUCCAAGGUUUCAAGUGUUCUUGGCUGUAGGGCUCCUUCCCUGCCCACAGAGGGCCUGGAGGCCCUUAAGGACACCAGACAGGACUUUUCAGUAUCUUACCGAGACCAGCUGAUUUAUUCUAUGAUCCCAGCUGACUUUGUGAGGAUGAAGAAGAUGGACAGUAGAUAAGCAAGCCCUUCCUGUGCAUGGCUCCACCUCCCUUGUUCAUUUUCUCUGACCAAAGCUGCUUUCAUGUAUAUACUGUGGUAUCCUUAUUUUUAAUAUAUAAGUUUUGUAUAAAGUGAGAAGGUUCAGCCCCUGUAUUUAAAGCCUCUGACUGCCUUUAAAGCAUGGUCCCCUGUGGCCUGUGAUUCUCCCCACCCCCAAGUCUGGCUGUGCUGUGGUAUUUAAGUAUUUUGCCUAAUUACACAGGAGAUACAUGAAUGCCCAAGGCUGUGGGCAUCUGCCCUCCAUCCUGCAAACACAGGUGUGCCUGUGUGCUCCAUCCUUCCUGUCCAUUGAGCUGGCAUAUUAAAAUAAUCAAAUAAA